CAUUUCUUGACUAGAAUUGGUAAUGAAUUCAUAAAUGCCACAUGUACUCACUGGAUCCUGCUCUGAACGCUAAGAUUCCCUGUUCAUGUGGAGACAACACCACUGCAGGAAAGAGGAAUUAAGGCAAAGGUUAAACACUGACUUGAUUUAGAAGACUUGACUGAUAAAUGAAACUUGGAAAUCUGGCAGUUCAUAAGAGAGCAUCAAGAACCCUUCCUAGCAAGAAUAAAAACAACUAAACUGAGUUCUGGGGCAAGUUGUUCUCCUCAGGAAACACCCUUAAAAACAGAGCUGACAAUGUUCUGCUUUCCUGUAGGUAAAAAUCAGCAAAUUUCAGAUAGAGAAACAAUAAGAGAAGUUAAUUUUGGGCACAACCACAUGGGUUAAUGUGGGUGUCCUGCACACAGCUCUUCCUACAGGCAGCAUUUUUCCCUCCUCACUUUUAUCAGCACCAGGGGAUUGUGGCUGCGCCAACCUGAUAUGCCAAGAAUUCAUAAACAGGAACGAGCCAAAGCUCCAGGAUUUUCCUGUCAUAGCUCAAAUUUCAGCUACGUUUUUAAACUUACCAAGCUGCAAAGAUCCUGUACAAUAAUCUUUCAAGAAAGAAUUGCCUAAUUCAUGCAAGAUCAUCUAUUCUUCAUAAGCAUUUACAUCCAAAUUCUUACAUUCUACACAGCAGAAAUUGAAAUAGUAUCAUUUUUCUGGGGAAGCAGCUCCAGAAAUUAAUGGAUCAUGUGCAAUACAUAGAUGGAAAUCCCAACUACCUACCAGAAUCAGUGAGUUCAGGCACACAAGCUACUAAGCUGAUAGAAAGAUGUAGUUUUACCUAAAGAACUAUCAAACACCCAGAAUGUAUUCAUUUUCAAGCUCCUAUCUCCUGCCAGCCUUCCAGAGUCCACCUCCAGUGCUGUGCUUACAGUCUCCAACCUGUAUUCUCAGUAGUGGUACACAUAAUAGUCCCUGAGAAUGCCAAUAUUCUGUACCACAAAUGCAGCAGACCAAGUGGAAUACAUCCAUAAAUCCAGAACAGUGAUUAUAAAUUGAUAGACAAAACUGUCAGAAAAUUACAGAUUAUUCUGAGUUGAAAGAGACCCAUAAGUUCAUCAAGUCCAACUCUUGGAGUGGUGUAAAAUGUCAGGGCAAAGUGCUCUUUGCAAAAGCCAAGAAGGGAACUGAGGAACAGAUCUCCCUUCCCUAUAAUCUCUGUGGAACCCACAGGGUCUAGGGCAGGGGUGGGAGAAGAGAGAAAACCCAAGAGUUGAGUCUAAAUUCUCCGUGAUGCUUCAGAUGGUAUUUGGUCACCAAAUGCAAAUGAGAGCUCUGCAACUUGCAAAUCCACAAAGUUCCUGUCAAAAACGCUGCCAACAGUCAGACACUCCCUCCUCUCCUUCCACUUCUUCUGUCAGAUGUACAAAAAAAUGGAUUUAUAGGAAAAGGUACUGUGGCUGGAACAGUUGCCAAACCUCUCCAGGCAAUAUCAUUAAAUAGCAUUUAUCUUUCAGAAAACCAAACUUCAACAAACUUAAGCACACCCAACUUUUUCAGAUUUAUAGAGCCACUCCAGUUUUCCCCCACUCACUGACCCCACCCCAAUCAGCUUUUUCCACCCAGGAUUGAAUAAAAAUCUUCAACUUCUCAUCCAGUUUUAAAUGCCAGCACAAUAAAAAUCAGAACACCACAGUCAAGGCUGGCAGGAAGAAGAAAUGUAGGAGAAUGUGCAAGAGAGACCUCUGAAGUUCCCAGCUGCUUGGUUAAUCCAACCACUCCACUGAUCUAUAACUGCUCUGCAAAUAAUUGUUUUUACUUAAUCUCCCAUGACAGCAUUUAAUUACCCACAGUUUUGGAAAGCUACUACAUAAACAACUCUCCUCACACCUCCUGUUUACAAACACUAAGUUGGUUUCCCUAUGACUAUUUCAAAUUCUUUUAUUAAUGGCAGAUUUGUUGUUUACCAAACCUUCAGUGUUAUAAAGAGAAAGAGUUCAUGAGCAAAAGUUUUUGAAGUGCUUCUGAAAGCAAAGCCUCAGUUUGGACUUUUCCUCUGUUUACUCAAAGCAUUAAGUAUCACACAGCACUAUUGGAGUGACUCUCUUAUCCAGAAAAAAUAUAUAUAAUUUAGACUUGAAUUAAUAAAACAUAACAUUUAAAAAUUAAAUUCUUUAGAAUUUAAUUAUCACUAAAAUAUUUCUCUUUCAAAGCACAAAUCCUA